rnacentral:rRNA from 1 species
UACGGCUAAAUCACGCUGAAACACCGGUUCUCGUUCGAUCACCGAAGUUAAGCAUCGUAGAGCCAGGUCAGUACUUAGAUGGGGGACCGCUUGGGAACACCUGGUACUGUAAG